GGGAGCUUGGCUCAGUUGGAAGAGCGCAGGUCUCAUACUAUAUUGUAUCUGUAUGACCCGGCUGAAAACGCCAGGAUAUCCUGAGGUCGUGAGUUCGAGCCUCACAGUUCCCA